GAGGAGCCUGCAGUGUGGACACUUAACAGUGUAAUUAGCAGCUUGUGGCCCAUGCAGAACUUGCCGAGAAUUGCAAGGUGGGCGUGUAUGUUGUGGGCGUCUUCUGCGCUCUCCAGGGCCCUCGUUCCCGCUUUCGUGUGCAGCUGUGUCUCCGCCCUUCGGUGUGGGCAUCCGGUCCUGAUAAAACACCGCGGAUCUCAGUGCUUCUGGGAGUUCUGUUCCUCUGAACGCUCAGUGUGCCGCGUCUCUCCUGCGAUGCUCGUGCGUGGCAUUUUGUCCAGGACUUUUGCGGAUGAGGAUUUCGAAGCGCGAUGGUCCUGCGCUCCACCUCCGUAUAUUCAACUGACAUUUUCAUCUCCAUCGUUUUCCUAGCUAGGGGGACAGAACGGGUCAAAAGUCGACCUCAGUGUUCAGAAGAUCCGCUUAAACUUUAGCAGAGCGAGAGGAUCUAGGCGACCUGCCAAGGCAGCAGAUGUACAGCAGUGCAGACGGCGUUCCUCUUGGCUUCCCUCUCGAGUCUGUGUGGAAGUUUGGAUACUGACAAGUACACUGUUUAUGGAGAAAAAAAUGAGGAAUUUUGAAGAAAUCACGUUGUUUUUGGGAGAAUGGGGCAGCUUCCAGAGGUCUAUCUUCUUCUGGCUCAGCGUUACCUUCGUGCCCCACGGCUACAUGAGCCUGGCCAUGGUGUUCCUGUCCGCCACGCCGCAGCAUCACUGCACCCUGCCGCCACACGCUGACGGGAGUGUCCACGCUGCGGUGCCCUACGAGCUCGUGCAUGGAAAGAGAGUGCUCAGCAGAUGCACACGGUACCAAACGGCGAACCGCUCCACGGAGAGCUUCUGGAACUGGAACGAGACGGAGGGGUGCCUGGACGGCUGGACCUUCAGCACUGAUAGAUACACGUCCACUGCUGUGACUGAGUGGAGCUUGGUGUGUGAGGAUGCAUGGAAAGCUCCCUUUGCUUCCUCGGUCCUCUUCUGCGGCGUGAUGGUGGGGUCACUGCUUUCUGGACAGGUUUCAGACAGGUUCGGCAGGAAGCUCGUCUUCUUCAUCUCGCUGGCCCUGCAGAACGUCCUCAGCCUGCUGCAGGCCUUGUCCAGCACCUGGGAGCUCUACUGCAUCUUCUACUUCUUCGAAGGGAUGGCACAGAUCUCCAGCUACAUGUCUGCGUUUGUUCUUGGUUCGGAGCUGCUGGGGAAGUCCACCCGCGUGCUCUUCUCCUCGCUGGGCGUGUGCAUCUCCUACGCGCUGGGCUACGCCUUCUUGCCCCUCUUCGCCUUCUUCAUCCGGGACUGGAGGAUGCUGCUCGUUGCUCUGACGCUGCCCGGCUUCCUCUGCCUGCCCCUGUGGUGGUUGAUCCCCGAGUCCCCCCGCUGGCUGCUGUCCCAGGGGCGAGCCAAGGAGGCGGAGGCCAUCAUUCAGGAAGCCGCCAGGAAAAACGGGAUCGUUGCUCCUGAGGUUAUCUUCAAGACCAGCGAUUUCUCUGACCCGCAAAGAGACAACGAAAAAGAUCCAUCGACAUCGUACACCUUUGUAGAUCUUGUUAAAACAGCCAACAUAAGGAACAUCACCGUCUUCAACAUGAUUAUUUGGAUAGUCACGUCCAUGACGUACUACGGCCUUUCCCUGAACACGCCUAACCUGAACGGGGACCCCUACCUCAACUGCUUCAUCUCGGCGGCCACCGAGAUCGUGGCCUACGUGGCCACGUGGCUCUUCAUGAGGUUCACGCCGCGCCGCUUCACGCUCGUCUUCCUGCUGCUGCUCUCCGGGGCCAUGCUGCUCGUCAUCAAGUUCAUCCCAGACGCGGGCUGUGAUUCGUUCAGAGCCGGACACCCUCACGGUGGCUCUGGCCAUGCUGGGGAAAACGGGCAUCACGGCGGCAUACUGCUUCAUCUACGUGUACUCCACGGAGCUCUUCCCCACCGUGCUCCGCAACACGGGCCUGGGCGCCAUCUCCAUGGCCGCCCGUGUCGGCACCAUCGUCUCGCCGUACAUCGCCUACAUCGGUGGGACAAAAAUGCAUCAGUUGGUAACUGUAUUCUCUAUCAAGUAUGGUUAUUCUGCAGCUUCCAGUAUCAUUUCUCUUUUAUUAGGUGAAUACAACAAGAUGGCUCCCUACUUCAUAAUGGGGGGUCUUAGCGUUUUUGUCGGUCUUCUCAGCCUGUUGCUUCCAGAGACCAAGGACAAGGAGCUUCCCGAACGCAUCAACCAAGUGAAACCCCUUGGGCUGCAAGUUUUUGGCAGAGCGAGUGGAUGUGACCCAACAAGAGGAUCCCCUUGUGGAGACGGUAUUGGCGUCUUAAUGUGAGGAGACAGCAGGAGGCACCAAAGAGCUUCGCACUUGGGCACACGCUGGCACUCGUAGACAUCGCGCCUCCCCCACCACUCGCCGCACCCCCCGCCCCACAAUGAGAAUAUUGCUAUGGUUUUUUUGGUGUGGUAAUUUAUUACUUCAGAGGCUGGUUUUUAAUUACAAAAAGGAGCUUCAUUCCGGUUUUGUGCUGUUUAUUUUGGUGUGGUUAUGAGUCUGGGCUCACAUUCCCGGACCUUCUCUUUGUGCGUCCUGGUCCUGGUUCUGAGUUAUGUUCCAGCCAAGCUGCUUUCCUACAGCACAGCUACUUUCAGAUGGCCACCAAAAGGAACUCGCAUUUUUCCACAACAUGCAGUGGUGCUCAAAAGUUUAUGAACCCUUCAGAAUUCUAUUUCUGCAUAAAUAUGACCUAAAAUGUGAUCAGAUUUUGACGCUGGUCCUGUCACUCG